rnacentral:tRNA from 1 species
GGUUGCAUGGUGUAGUUGGUCAUCACGUCAGUUUAACAUCUCAGUUCACUGAAGGUCCUCAGUUCAAACCUGGGUGCGAUCA